rnacentral:rRNA from 1 species
UACGUAGGGGCCUAGCGUUGUCCGGAUUUAUUGGGCGUAAAGAGCUCGUAGGCGGUUCGGUAAGUCAGGUGUGAAAUCUCCACGCUCAACGUGGAGGCGCCACCUGAAACUGCCGUGACUCGAGUCCGGUAGGGGAGUGUGGAAUUCCCGGUGUAGCGGUGAAAUGCGCAGAUAUCGGGAGGAAGACCAGUGGCGAAGGCGGGUCUCUGGACAGUUCCUGACGCUGAGGCACGAAGGCCAGGGGAGCAAACGGG